GGAGGAGUACCCAAGUGGUGAAGGGACCGCUCUCGAAAAGCGGCAGGUCGGUGUUCCCGGCGCGUGGGUUCGACCCCCACCUCCUCCGCCA
rnacentral:tRNA from 1 species